GACGAGAUAAUCUGUAUAAAAUCCCUGAUUCUUAGAGAGAUGAAUAAAAUUCCCAAUUCAAAUAAACUAAAUAAUAGGCGUUGUGCCACGUGAAACACUUCUUAUUUUAAAAAAUAAUUCAUAUAAUUAAAUAAUACACAUUAGCAUGUCCUCUCGCUACCACGUCAGCUAAACUGAACGCCGUUUGAGAUCAGUUAACGAUUGGGGUAAAAUGUGUGCAUUUUUACAAAAAUU
rnacentral:lncRNA from 1 species